rnacentral:sRNA from 1 species
AUUAACAUCGUCAUCCCGGCGAAGGCCGGGAUCUCGCCGGUGCUUCCUUGCGAUAGGGUGAGAUCCCGGCCUUCGCCGGGAUGACGAAAGUUGG